ACAAGCUUUCGGGAGAACCUCCCUUUCUCAAGUCUGAAGCAUUUCUGCCUACAGAAAUGCUUCAGACUUGAGAAAGGGAGGUUCUCCCGAAAGCUUG